GACGAACGCUCGGCGGGCGUGCCUAACACAUGCAAGUCGAACGAAGCUUGACGUACGGACGUCCUUACGGGGACGAAGUAAGAUAUGACUGAGUGGCGGACGGGUGAGUAACGCGUGAGUAACCUGCCCUUCAGAGGGGAAUAGCGUUUGGAAACAGAUGCUAAUACCGCAUAACAACACUAGACGCAUGUCUAGAGUUUGAAAGACGGCUCUGCUAUCACUCUUGGAUGGACCUGCGGUGCAUUAGCUAGUUGGUAAGGUAACGGCUUACCAAGGCAAUGAUGCAUAGCCGAGUUGAGAGACUGAUCGGCCACAUUGGGACUGAGACACGGUCCAA
rnacentral:rRNA from 1 species